rnacentral:rRNA from 1 species
AGGUGGACCUCGGAUCAGGUAGGGAUACCCGCUGAACUUAAGCAUAUC